rnacentral:misc_RNA from 1 species
GAUGAAGAACGCAGCGAAAUGCGAUAAGUAAUGUGAAUUGCAGAAUUCAGUGAAUCAUCGAAUCUUUGAACGCACAUUGCGCCCGCCAGUAUUCUGGCGGGCAUGCCUGUUCGAGCGUCAUUUCAACCAUCAAGCCCCCGGCUUGUGUUGGGGACCUGCGGCUGCCGCAGGCCCUGAAAACCAGUGGCGGGCUCGUUGUCACACCGAGCGUAGUAGAUUUUCAUCUCGCUCAGGGCGUGCUGCGGGUUCCGGCCGUAAAAAGCCUUAUUUACCCAAGGUUGACCUCGGAUCAGGUAGGAAGACCCGCUGAACUUAAGCAUAUCAAUAAGCGGAGGA